GACGAACGCUGGCGGCGUGCCUAAUACAUGCAAGUCGAACGCUGAGAGGGGAGCUUGCUUCCCUGGAUGAGUUCCGCACGGGUGAGUAACGCGUAGGUAACCUGCCUGGUAGCGGGGGAUAACUAUUGGAAACGAUAGCUCAUACAGCAUAAGAGUAGAUGUCGCAUGACAUUUGCUAAAAAAGUGCAAUUUUAUCACUACUAGUUGGUGCUGCCUUGGAUUAUUUACUUGGUGAGGUAACGGCUCACCAAGGCAACGAUAGAUAGCCGACCGCGGAGGGGUGUCGGCCACACUUGGACUGAGACACGGCCCAGACUCCCACGGGAGGCAGCAGUAGGGAAUCUUCGGGAAUUGACGGAAGUCUGAACGGGGAACGCCGGGGGAGGUAAGAAGGUUUUCGGAUCGGAAAGCUCUUGUGUAAGGGGAGGACGAGUGGUGUAGGGGAAAGUGCACGCUGUGACGGUAUCUUACCAGAAAGCGACGGCUAACUACGUG
rnacentral:rRNA from 1 species